CGAACGGGUGAGUAAUACAUCGGAACGUGCCCAGUCGUGGGGGAUAACUACUCGAAAGAGUAGCUAAUACCGCAUACGAUCUGAGGAUGAAAGCGGGGGACCUUCGGGCCUCGCGCGAUUGGAGCGGCCGAUGGCAGAUUAGGUAGUUGGUGGGAUAAAAGCUUACCAAGCCGACGAUCUGUAGCUGGUCUGAGAGGACGACCAGCCACACUGGGACUGAGACACGGCCCAGACUCCUACGGGAGGCAGCAGAC
rnacentral:rRNA from 1 species